rnacentral:tRNA from 1 species
GGGCCUAUAGCUCAGCUGGUUAGAGCGCACGCCUGAUAAGCGUGAGGUCGAUGGUUC